AACGAACGCUGGCGGCAUGCCUAACACAUGCAAGUCGAACGAACCCUUCGGGGUGAGUGGCGCACGGGUGCGUAACACGUGGGAACCUGCCCUUAGGUUCGGAAUAACACAGAGAAAUUUGUGCUAAUACCGGAUAAUGUCUUCGGACCAAAGAUUUAUCGCCUUUGGAUGGGCCCGCGUAGGAUUAGCUAGUUGGUGAGGUAAAGGCUCACCAAGGCGACGAUCCUUAGCUGGUCUUAGAGGAUGAUCAGCCACACUGGGACUGAGACACGGCCCAGACUCCUACGGGAGGCAGCAGUGGGGAAUAUUGGACAAUGGGCGAAAGCCUGAUCCAGCAAUGCCGCGUGAGUGAUGAAGGCCUUAGGGUUGUAAAGCUCUUUUACUGGGGAUGAUAAUGACAGUACCCAGAGAAUAAGCCCCGGCUAACUCCGUGCCAGCCGCCGCGUAAUAC
rnacentral:rRNA from 1 species